GUGAAUCAUCGAAUUUUUGAACGCAAAUUGCACUCUCCUCGGAGAGUAGGCCUGUUUGAGUGUCAGCCUGUAAAAAAUCGACAUCGUUGCUGUUUCUCGGUGGCGGUCGGUGGAAAUUGGGUCAUCUUAAAUCCUUUUGAUUUAAGCGACUUAAAAUUUUCUUUUGGUUCCAUGAACGGUGCUUAGAUCUAUUGCUUUACACGUUUAAGGUAUCGAUUUUUACUAGACUUUACCAUCAUAUCGGAUCGCGUCCAUAAUCCUUCUAUAACUUACCUCAUACAGGUUA
rnacentral:misc_RNA from 1 species